UACGUAGGGGGCUAGCGUUGUCCGGAAUCAUUGGGCGUAAAGAGCGCGUAGGCGGCUAGAUAAGUCCGGUGUGAAAGUCACAGGCUCAACCUGUGAAUGCCGCUGGAAACUGUCUGGCUAGAGUCCGGAAGGGGCGAGUGGAAUUCCUGGUGUAGCGGUGAAAUGCGCAGAUAUCAGGAGGAACACCAAUGGCGAAGGCGGCUGACUGGACAUGUAUUGACGCUGAGGUGCGAAAGCGUGGGGAGCAAACAGG
rnacentral:rRNA from 1 species